GAAGAGUUAGCCACAGCCUGAAACACAAGAAAACACGCCAAACAGAUAUGCCAGGAAAAAAACAAUUAUACAUGUGCUCCCCUGCAGAGGUGCCAAGUCUUCAUCCUCACCACCAUCUAUUAUCCAUUUUCUGGCCCAUAACUAUUACAACGAACCAUUAGUAAUUAUCAAAUUAAACGAGAAAUACAAGUGAAUUUCAUGAAUGUGGUUGAGAGGGUAGUUUUUGGGUGUACACUUGGCAUAUGACGGUGAAAAUGUGGCCGCUUGCAUCGCCUCCUCCUCCUUCCUCCCGCCAUCUUCAUCUGUCAGCUGAUCCGAGGUGGACGGCGUUCCGCGUGUCGGCCAAUUUCCUUGUAAUCCAGGACGACACAGACGGCCAUGGAUGGAAGCAAGAUGCUGGACUUUGUGGACCCUGGCGGCCAUGAGGAGGUGUCCGUGGGCGCUGGGCAAGGCCGAGAGCGAGGAGUACAGCACACUAGAUGAGGGGGACCAUGGAUGGUGCAGGGCUCUCAGGAGAUGGACAAGCAGAAACAGGGGACCAGAACUCACAGGUGUUCUUUAUUGAGUGUGUGAGUGCUGCUGUCGUCACCAUGAACACCUGCUCGGAGGCACCAAGACCCAUCAAGCCAGUCCGCCAUGCAAGACUGCCUGGUCAAGAUGGGGUCCAGCCUUGCACAGAACUGCUUGGCUGGCCAGUGCCACAAGUUGGUGGUGACAAAGUAAAGCCCUCCAUGACUGCUACAGCCUGAUGGAUCUCAAGGUGUGUGGUGACCCAGGCUGUGGAGGGUGGCUGCCACACUCACUGCUCCAGCCACUCACAGCUGUACCUCAGGAGCCAGACACCAUCUGCUUCACUCCUGCCCAGACUUUGCCACUCACACACAACAGCUGCUUCAUCUUAAGGAUCAGCGAUGUGGAACCAGCUGUACCACCACCACCACCACCACCACCAGGGGAGCCACUCACUGCCACAAGAAGGAAGGAAGCAGCUGUGAUGAAUAGUUUUUGAGAUGCUGAGGUUAAAAGAGACCCCCUCCCCCAGCUGGGCUGCCCGAGUGCGCCUGGGGGAUAGUCUCGCUGCGAGGGAUUAGCAAUGAAGGGGUUAACAGCUGCUGGCAGGAAGAAGAAGAAGAAGAAGAAGAAAAAGAAGAGGACACACAGAGAGAGAAGAGGAGGAAGAAGAAGAGGAAGGAUUUGUAAUAUGGCAGACAUCAAACCAAUGGAAGAAGAAGAAGAAGAAGAAGAAAAAGAAGAGGACACACAGAGAGAGAAGAGGAGGAAGAAGAAGAGGAAGGAUUUGUAAUAUGGCAGACAUCAAACCAAU